AUUGAACGCUGGCGGGAUGCUUAACACAUGCAAGUCGAAUGAGUGGCGGACGGGUGAGUAAUAUGUGGGAAAGUGCCCAAUAGGUGGGGAUAACUACUGGAAAGCGUGGUAAUACCGCAUACUAUUGGAUGUGCCCAUAUCGGAUUAGCGAGUUGGUGGGGUAAAGGCUCACCAAGGCAACGAUCCCUAGCUGGCUUGAGAGGACGACCAGCCACACUGGGAUGGAGAAACGGCCAAGACCCCUACGGGAGGCGGCAGGGGGGAACUUUUGAAAAUGGGGGAAACCCUGAGCAAGCCAGCCCGCGUUGAGGUAAAAGGCCUUCGGGUUGGAAAGUCCUUUUGGCAGGGAAGCGGUACCUGCAGAAAAAGCACCGGCUAACUACGUGCCAGCCGCCGCGGUAAUAC
rnacentral:rRNA from 1 species